rnacentral:rRNA from 1 species
AUGCCCAACUCUCACACGCUUGCUCCUUCUUCUCCAGAUACGGCAGCGCCGGGGCGCGCGGAAGAUUCGGAGGUGGCCGUACCGGCGUCGGUGCCGGUGCGCGUCGCCUACGAGAUGCAGCUGGCAGGACACCGCUACCUCGACGUCAGAACGGAGGGUGAGUUCGGUGGUGGGCGUCCGGCAGGAGCGGUGAACAUCCCCUACAUGUAUAGCACCGGCUCAGGAAUGGCCAAGAACCCGCACUUUCUCGAGCAAGUGUCAGCGAUCUUCGGCAGCGAUGACGAGCUCAUCAUUGGAUGCCAAAGUGGCAAGAGGUCCCUCAUGGCAGCAGCCGAACUCUGCUCCGCUGGCUUCACUGCCGUGACCGACAUCGCCGGAGGGUUCUCGACUUGGAGGGAGAACGGACUGCCGGUCAUUGGACGGUGA